AGAGUUGAUCCUGGCUCAGGAUGAACGCUAGCUACAGGCUUAACACAUGCAAGUCGAGGGGCAGCAGAUCGAAAGCUUGCUUUGAUGCUGGCGACCGGCGCACGGGUGAGUAGCGCGUAUCCAACCUUCCCUAUAGUAGAGAAUAGCCCGGCGAAAGUCGGAUUAAUGCUCUAUGUUGUAUUUAGAAGACAUCUGAAGAAUACCAAAGGUUUACCGCUAUAGGAUGGGGAUGCGUCUGAUUAGGUUGUUGGCGGGGUAACGGCCCACCAAGCCUACGAUCAGUAGGGGUUCUGAGAGGAAGGUCCCCCACAUUGGAACUGAGACACGGUCCAAACUCCUACGGGAGGCAGCAGUGAGGAAUAUUGGUCAAUGGACGAAAGUCUGAACCAGCCAAGUAGCGUGCAGGAUGACGGCCCUAUGGGUUGUAAACUGCUUUUAUACAGGGAUAAAGUGAGGGACGUGUCCCUUUUUGUAGGUACUGUAUGAAUAAGGACCGGCUAAUUCCGUGCCAGCCGCAGC
rnacentral:rRNA from 1 species